rnacentral:rRNA from 1 species
UACGAAGGGGGCUAGCGUUGCUCGGAAUUACUGGGCGUAAAGGGCGCGUAGGCGGAUAUUUAAGGUUAGAGGUGAAAGCCCAGGGCUCAACCCUGGAAUAGCCUUUAAUACUGGAUAUCUUGAGUUCGGGAGAGGUGAGUGGAACUCCGAGUGUAGAGGUGAAAUUCGUAGAUAUUCGGAAGAACACCAGUGGCGAAGGCGACUCACUGGCCCGAUACUGACGUGAGGCGCGGAAAGCGUGGGGAGCAAACAGG